AUUGAACGCUGGCGGCAUGCUUUACACAUGCAAGUCGAACGAUAACAGGCCGCAAGGUGCUGACGAGUGGCGAACGGGUGAGUAAUGCAUCGGAACGUGCCCAGUCGUGGGGGAUAACGCAGCGAAAGCUGCGCUAAUACCGCAUACGAUCUCUGGAUGAAAGCGGGGGACCGAAAGGCCUCGCGCGAUUGGAGCGGCCGAUGUCAGAUUAGGUAGUUGGUGGGGUAAAGGCCCACCAAGCCAACGACCUGUAGCUGGUCUGAGAGGACGACCAGCCACACUGGGACUGAGACACGGCCCAGACUCCUACGGGAGGCAGCAGUGGGGAAUUUUGGACAAUGGGCGCAAGCCUGAUCCAGCAAUGCCGCGUGCAGGAAGAAGGCCUUCGGGUUGUAAACUGCUUUUGUACGGAACGAAACGGUCCGGGUUAAUACCCUGGGCUAAUGACGGUACCGUAAGAAUAAGCACCGGCUAACUACGUGCCAGCCGCCGCCGUAAAAC
rnacentral:rRNA from 1 species